rnacentral:rRNA from 1 species
UGAACGCUGGCGGCGUUCCUAAUACAUGCAAGUCGAGCGAACGGACGAGAAGCUUGCUUCUCUGAUGUUAGCGGCGGACGGGUGAGUAACACGUGGAUAACCUACCUAUAAGACUGGGAUAACUUCGGGAAACCGGAGCUAAUACCGGAUAAUAUUUUGAACCGCAUGGUUCAAAAGUGAAAGACGGUCUUGCUGUCACUUAUAGAUUGAUCCGCGCUGCAUUAGCUAGUUGGUAAGGUAACGGCUUACCAAGGCAACGAUGCAUAGCCGACCUGAGAGGGUGAUCGGCCACACUGGAACUGAGACACGGUCCAGACUCCUACGGGAGGCAGCAGUAGGGAAUCUUCCGCAAUGGGCGAAAGCCUGACGGAGCAACGCCGCGUGAGUGAUGAAGGUCUUCGGAUCGUAAAACUCUGUUAUUAGGGAAGAACAUAUGUGUAAGUAACUGUGCACAUCUUGACGGUACCCAAUCAGAAAGCCACGGCUAACUACGUG